rnacentral:tRNA from 1 species
ACUAGGGUGGCAGAGCCAGGUUAAUGCACUAAGACUUAAAACCUUAUUACAGGCGUUCAAAUCGCCUUCCUAGUA